rnacentral:lncRNA from 1 species
UGAUGUUUAAACGUUAUGUUCUGUUUGCCCAGAGAAACGCGGAGGUGGCUGGCAAUAUGGUGAAGUUCAUUUCUAGCCACUAUGGUAAAAACACCCAAAGCACAGGAGAUGCAGUCCCUCCUGCAGUCAGUCCCACUCAGAAAUGUAUUCCCCCUUCUACCAACAGACCAAAUUUCAACAUGAGCUGGUUAUCAAAAGAUAAAGGGAAAAUACCUGGAGCUCUGAGCUUUACAGCGCCCAACCAAAAAACCACAACAAACUCAAUCAGGCAUAGGUAGUAUAUGUCAGAAAAAAUGUUACAGCUGUAUGGAUAGUUUGAUAAAUAUUUGUAUGCACAUUCUUUAUUUCCUGCAGUAAAGAUGUCUUUGAAUUCAACCUUGACUCUCCUCUCAGUGUUGGGGUAAAUACUUGUCACGUUUGGUAAAUAGUGUCAUUUAAAAACUCAGAUAAUUCAAGUCUCUUUUAUUGUACUUUAGAGGAAGAACAAACCCCCCGCGGAAAUCUCUGCCAUUUCUAGCAGGUAAGGCAGACAGCUAAAAAGUAUGCAUGAUAAUAUAAAUGGACAUUUUCUCAGUUUUAUAUCUUUUUUGUCAUUUAACAGAUCCUCUGUUGUCAGCACAACCAAGAAAGCAAGGAGACCUGAGACUAAAGUAUUCUGCAAUUCUGCAUUUUACCUUACAAUCAUAUAAUCAUAUUUAUCUGCUCAACAUGGAAAAUCAAUAAAUCACUGAAAUCUUUUUAUUUCAGGGUAAACCCAAAAGUAAAAAGCAUUUGUUUAGUGACACAGAAGUGGAAACUACCAGGACAGAGGUCAGCUGGCUGACAGAAUCUAUCAUGAAACCCAAGAAAAAAGUGAAUGAAUAUCAAAGACAAGCUGUCAGAAAACCCAGAGCGAACUCCCUUCAACCUGGGCGUAUGGUUUAAAGCCACAUUUACACACACUCACAUUUUUUCACAUAGACUGAAUGGUAUUAAAGCAAAUACUUACAUUAGGUGAACUUUUUUCCAGAACCGUCUCCAGAUUUGCUCCCACCCACUUUGAAUCCCGUAAAAGUUGAUAAGAAACCCAAAACGGUAAAGUAACAAUACAUGUUAGGAAUGUUCCUUAGACCCAGUAACGCACUAAUGCUCCUGGCCACUAUGUGUCACUGUUGUAUCAGAAGAAUCCUGGUUUGAGGAAGGCAGCGGGUCAACCAAAGGAGGCAAAGAUGGUGAGGUCAACUGCAACCUCCAGCAAACCACAAGAACCUGCUAAGAGACCCAGAAGAGGUGCAGCCUUAACUAGGACUUACAGAGAGCUGCCUAGUGAUGACAGCCUGUCUGAACCAGAGAACGUUCCCACUCCAAAGGCAAGAUCAAUUUCUCCUGCAUGAUUCUGUCACACCACUAAACAACAUGUUUAUUGUUAUUAUGUCUAUGUAAUCAACCUUGAAGAAAUGUUGAUUUGCUCACAGUAU